AUUGAACGCUGGCGGCAUGCCUUACACAUGCAAGUCGAACGGCAGCACGGGUGCUUGCACCUGGUGGCGAGUGGCGAACGGGUGAGUAAUACAUCGGAACAUGUCCUGUAGUGGGGGAUAGCCCGGCGAAAGCCGGAUUAAUACCGCAUACGAUCUACGGAUGAAAGCGGGGGACCUUCGGGCCUCGCGCUAUAGGGUUGGCCGAUGUCUGAUUAGCUAGUUGGUGGGGUAAAGGCCUACCAAGGCGACGAUCAGUAGAUGGUCUGAGAGGACGACCAGCCACACUGGGACUGAGACACGGCCCAGACUCCUACGGGAGGCAGCAGUGGGGAAUUUUGGACAAUGGGCGAAAGCCUGAUCCAGCAAUGCCGCGUGUGUGAAGAAGGCCUUCGGGUUGUAAAGCACUUUUGUCCGGAAAGAAAUCCUUGGCUCUAAUACAGUCGGGGGAUGACGGUACCGGAAGAAUAAGCACCGGCUAACUACGUG
rnacentral:rRNA from 1 species